rnacentral:rRNA from 1 species
UACGGAGGGGGCAAGCGUUGUUCGGAGUUACUGGGCGUAAAGGGCGCGUAGGCGGUGCAGCAAGUCAGGCGUGAAAGCCCCGGGCUUAACCUGGGAACUGCGUCUGAUACUGGACGGCUCGAGUAUGGGAGAGGGAUGUAGAAUUCCAGGUGUAGCGGUGAAAUGCGUAGAUAUCGGGAGGAACACCGGUGGCGAAGGCGGCCACCUGGACGGUAACUGACGCUGAGACGCGAAAGCGUGGGUAGCAAACAGG